rnacentral:rRNA from 1 species
UACAGAGGUCCCAAGCGUUGUUCGGAUUCACUGGGCGUAAAGGGUGCGUAGGUGGUCGGGUAAGUUUAAGGUGAAAGCUCCGGGCUCAACCCGGAAAUGGCCUUGAAUACUAUCCGGCUCGAGGGUUGGAGGGGGGACUGGAAUUCUCGGUGUAGCAGUGAAAUGCGUAGAUAUCGAGAGGAACACCAGUGGCGAAGGCGAGUCCCUGGACAACACCUGACACUGAGGCACGAAAGCUUGGGGAGCAAACGGG